UGGGGGAUAUUGCGCAAUGGGGGCAACCCUGACGCAGCAACGCCGCGUGAAGGAUGAAGGUUUUCGGAUUGUAAACUUCUUUUAUUAAGGACGAAACUUGACGGUACUUAAUGAAUAAGCUCCGGCUAACUACGUGCCAGCAGCCGCGGUAAUACGUAGGGAGCAAGCGUUGUCCGGAUUUACUGGGUGUAAAGGGUGCGUAGGGCGGCUUUGCAAGUCAGAUGUGAAAUCUAUGGGCUCAACCCAUAAACUGCAUUUGAAACUGUAGAGCUUGAGUGAAGUAGAGGCAGGCGGAAUUCCCCGUGUAGCGGUGAAAUGCGUAGAGAUGGGGAGGAACACCAGUGGCGAAGGCGGCCUGCUGGGCUUUAACUGACGCUGAGGCACGAAAGCGUGGGUAGCAAACAGGAUUAGAUACCCUGGUAGUCCACGCUGUAAACGAUGAUUACUAGGUGUGGGGGGUCUGACCCCUUCCGUGCCGGAGUUAACACAAUAAGUAAUCCACCUGGGGAGUACGGCCGCAAGGUUGAAACUCAAAGGAAUUGACGGGGGCCCGCACAAGCAGUGGAGUAUGUGGUUUAAUUCGAAGCAACGCGAAGAACCUUACCAGGUCUUGACAUCCAACUAACGAAGUAGAGAUACAUUAGGUGCCCUUCGGGGAAAGUUGAGACAGGUGGUGCAUGGUUGUCGUCAGCUCGUGUCGUGAGAUGUUGGGUUAAGUCCCGCAACGAGCGCAACCCUUGCUAUUAGUUGCUACGCAAGAGCACUCUAAUAGGACUGCCGUUGACAAAACGGAGGAAGGUGGGGACGACGUCAAAUCAUCAUGCCCCUUAUGACCUGGGCUACACACGUACUACAAUGGAUGUUAACAGAGGGAAGCAAGACAGCGAUGUGGAGCAAACCCCUAAAAACAUUCUCAGUUCAGAUUGCAGGCUGCAACCCGCCUGCAUGAAGAUGGAAUUGCUAGUAAUCGCGGAUCAGCAUGCCGCGGUGAAUACGUUCCC
rnacentral:rRNA from 2 species